UCAAGUGAUGUUUCGGACUGAACGUUUUAGUUUAGUGGCGGACGGGUGAGUAACGCGUGGACAACCUGCCUCUCACUGGGGGAUAGCAGCUGGAAACGGCUGGUAAUACCGCAUGCGUUCAAUGUGCCGCAUGACACAUUGAAGAAAGAUUUAUCGGUGAGAGAUGGGUCCGCGUCUGAUUAGCCAGUUGGCGGGGUAACGGCCCACCAAAGCGACGAUCAGUAGCCGGCCUGAGAGGGCGGACGGCCACAUUGGGACUGAGACACGGCCCAGACUCCUACGGGAGGCAGCAGUGGGGGAUAUUGCACAAUGGGCGCAAGCCUGAUGCAGCGACGCCCGCGUGAGUGAAGAAGUAUUUCGGUAUGUAAAGCUCUAUCAGCAGGGAAGAAAGGCCCGCAAGGGAGAUGACGGUACCUGACUAAGAAGCCCCGGCUAACUACGUGCCAGCAGCCGC
rnacentral:rRNA from 1 species